AUUGAACGCUGGCGGCAGGCCUAACACAUGCAAGUCGAGCGGAUGAAGGGAGCUUGCUCCUGGAUUCAGCGGCGGACGGGUGAGUAAUGCCUAGGAAUCUGCCUGGUAGUGGGGGAUAACGUCCGGAAACGGGCGCUAAUACCGCAUACGUCCUGAGGGAGAAAGUGGGGGAUCUUCGGACCUCACGCUAUCAGAUGAGCCUAGGUCGGAUUAGCUAGUUGGUGGGGUAAAGGCCUACCAAGGCGACGAUCCGUAACUGGUCUGAGAGGAGGAUCAGUCACACUGGAACUGAGACACGGUCCAGACUCCUACGGGAGGCAGCAGUGGGGAAUAUUGGACAAUGGGCGAAAGCCUGAUCCAGCCAUGCCGCGUGUGUGAAGAAGGUCUUCGGAUUGUAAAGCACUUUAAGUGGGGAGGAAGGGCAGUAAGUUAAUACCUUGCUGUUUUGACGUUACCAACAGAAUAAGCACCGGCUAACUUCGUG
rnacentral:rRNA from 1 species